rnacentral:sRNA from 1 species
AACUAGCGCAAGGGAUUGAAGCGACAUCCUUUUUUGCAUUUUUGCUGAUGCAAAAAUUGCAAAAAAGAUAUAGCGUAAAGCCCGACCCGUU